CCUACGGGGGGCUGCAGUCGAGAAUCAUUCACAAUGGGGGAAACCCUGAUGGUGCGACGCCGCGUGGGGGAAUGAAGGUCUUCGGAUUGUAAACCCCUGUCAUGUGGGAGCAAAUUAAAAAGAUAGUAACACAAGAGGAAGAGACGGCUAACUCUGUGCCAGCAGCCGCGGUAAUACAGAGGUCUCAAGCGUUGUUCGGAAGCACUGGGCGUAAAGCGUGCGUAGGCUGUUUCGUAAGUCGUGUGUGAAAGGCGCGGGCUCAACCCGCGGACGGCACAUGAUACUGCGAGACUAGAGUGAUGGAGGGGGAACCGGAAUUCUCGGUGUAGCAGUGAAAUGCGUAGAUAUCGAGAGGAACACUCGUGGCGAAGGCGGGUUCCUGGACAUUAACUGACGCUGAGGCACGAAGGCCAGGGGAGCGAAAGGGAUUAGAUACCCUUGUAGUC
rnacentral:rRNA from 1 species